CGGCGGACGGGUGAGUAACACGUGGGUAACCUACCUAUAAGACUGGGACAACUUCGGGAAACCGGAGCUAAUACCGGAUAAGAUAUCGAACCGCAUGGUUCGAUAGUGAAAGAUGGUUUUGCUAUCACUUAUAGAUGGACCCGCGCCGUAUUAGCUAGUUGGUGAGGUAACGGCUCACCAAGGCAACGAUACGUAGCCGACCUGAGAGGGUGAUCGGCCACACUGGAACUGAGACACGGUCCAGACUCCUACGGGAGGCAGCAGAA
rnacentral:rRNA from 1 species